rnacentral:rRNA from 1 species
GGGUCAGGGCUACUGACAUUCGAGGGACGAUAACGGCGUCGAGCGGCGGACGGGUGAGUAAUGCCUAGGAAAUUGCCCUGAUGUGGGGGAUAACCAUUGGAAACGAUGGCUAAUACCGCAUGAUGCCUACGGGCCAAAGAGGGGGACCUUCGGGCCUCUCGCGUCAGGAUAUGCCUAGGUGGGAUUAGCUAGUUGGUGAGGUAAGGGCUCACCAAGGCGACGAUCCCUAGCUGGUCUGAGAGGAUGAUCAGCCACACUGGAACUGAGACACGGUCCAGACUCCUACGGGAGGCAGCAGUGGGGAAUAUUGCACAAUGGGCGCAAGCCUGAUGCAGCCAUGCCGCGUGUAUGAAGAAGGCCUUCGGGUUGUAAAGUACUUUCAGUCGUGAGGAAGGCGGCGUCGUUAAUAGCGGCGUUGUUUGACGUUAGCGACAGAAGAAGCACCGGCUAACUCCGUGCCAGCAGCCGCGGUAAUACGGAGGGUGCGAGCGUUAAUCGGAAUUACUGGGCGUAAAGCGCAUGCAGGUGGUUUGUUAAGUCAGAUGUGAAAGCCCGGGGCUCAACCUCGGAAUAGCAUUUGAAACUGGCAGACUAGAGUACUGUAGAGGGGGGUAGAAUUUCAGGUGUAGCGGUGAAAUGCGUAGAGAUCUGAAGGAAUACCGGUGGCGAAGGCGGCCCCCUGGACAGAUACUGAACCCCCAAAAGAAGAAAGA